UACGGAGGGAGCUAGCGUUGUUCGGAAUUACUGGGCGUAAAGAGUGUGUAGGCGGUGCUCUAAGUUCGGUGUGAAAUCUCCUGGCUCAACUGGGAGGGUGCGCCGGAAACUGGAGUGCUUGAGCGUGGGAGAGGAAAGCGGAAUUCCUGGUGUAGCGGUGAAAUGCGUAGAUAUCAGGAGGAACACCUGUGGUGUAGACGGCUUUCUGGACCAUAGCUGACGCUGAGACACGAAAGCGUGGGUAGCAAACAGG
rnacentral:rRNA from 1 species